rnacentral:rRNA from 1 species
AUUGAACGCUGGCGGCAUGCCUUACACAUGCAAGUCGAACGGCAGCACGGGGCAACCUGGUGGCGAGUGGCGAACGGGUGAGUAAUGCAUCGGAACGUACCUUUCAGUGGGGGAUAACGUAGCGAAAGUUACGCUAAUACCGCAUAUUCUGUGAGCAGGAAAGCAGGGGAUCGCACGACCUUGCGCGGAUUGAGCGGCUGAUGUAAGAUUACCUAGGUGGUGAGGUAAAGGCUCACCAAGGCGACGAUCUGUAGCGGGUCUGAGAGGAUGAGCCGACACACUGGAACUGAGACACGGUCCAGACUCCUACGGGAGGCAGCAGUGGGGAAUUUUGGACAAUGGGGGCAACCCUGAUCCAGCCAUGCCGCGUGAGUGAAGAAGGCCUUCGGGUUGUAAAGCUCUUUCGGCCGGGAAGAAAUCGCACGGGCUAAUACCCUGUGUGGAUGACGGUACCGGAAUAAGAAGCACCGGCUAACUACGUGCCAGCAGCCGCGGUAAAAC